GAUGAACGCUGGCGGCGUGCCUAAUACAUGCAAGUCGAGCGAACAGACGAGGUGCUUGCUCCUGUGACGUUAGCGGCGGACGGGUGAGUAACACGUGGGGAACCUACCUAUAAGACUGGGACAACUUCGGGAAACCGGAGCUAAUACCGGAUAAUAUUACGAACCGCAUGGUUCGAUAGUGAAAGAUGGCUUUGCUAUCACUUAUAGAUGGUCCUGCGCCGUAUUAGCUAGUUGGUAAGGUAACGGUUUACAAAGGCAACGAUACGUAGCCGACCUGGGAGGGGGAUCGGCGACACUGGAACUGAGACACCGGCCAGACUCCGACGGGAGGAAGCAGUAGGGACUCAUGCGCAGUGGGCGAAGGCAUGACGGAGCAACGGCGCGUGAGUGAUGAGGGUCUUCGGGUCUGAAGACUGUGUUAUUAGGGAUGAACAAACGUGUAAGUAACUGUGCACGUCUUGACGGUACCUGAUCAGAAAGCCACGGCUAACUACGUG
rnacentral:rRNA from 1 species